AUUGAACGCUGGCGGCAGGCUUAACACAUGCAAGUCGAGCGGAGAUGAGGUGCUUGCACCUUAUCUUAGCGGCGGACGGGUGAGUAAUGCUUAGGAAUCUGCCUAUUAGUGGGGGACAACAUUCCGAAAGGAAUGCUAAUACCGCAUACGUCCUACGGGAGAAAGCAGGGGAUCUUCGGACCUUGCGCUAAUAGAUGAGCAUAAGUCGGAUUAGCUAGGUGGUGGGGUAAAGGCCUACCAAGGCGACGAUCGGUAGCGGGUCUGAGAGGAUGAUCCGCCACACUGGGACUGAGACACGGCCCAGACUCCUACGGGAGGCAGCAGUGGGGAAUAUUGGACAAUGGGGGGAACCCUGAUCCAGCCAUGCCGCGUGUGUGAAGAAGGCCUUAUGGUUGUAAAGCACUUUAAGCGAGGAGGAGGCUACUGAGACUAAUACUCUUGGAUAGUGGACGUUACUCGCAGAAUAAGCACCGGCUAACUCUGUGCCAGCAGCCGCGGUAA
rnacentral:rRNA from 1 species